rnacentral:rRNA from 1 species
GGGUUGUGAGGUUAAGCGACUAAGCGUACACGGUGGAUGCCCUGGCAGUCAGAGGCGAUGAAGGACGUGCUAAUCUGCGAAAAGCGCCGGCGAGGUGAUAUGAACCUUUGACCCGGCGAUGUCCGAAUGGGGAAACCCAGUGUGAUUCGUCACACUAUCGUUAACUGAAUACAUAGGUUAACGAGGCGAACCGGGGGAACUGAAACAUCUAAGUACCCCGAGGAAAAGAAAUCAACCGAGAUUCCCCCAGUAGCGGCGAGCGAACGGGGAGCAGCCCAGAGUCUGAAUCAGCUUGUGUGUUAGUGGAAGCGUCUGGAAAGUCGCACGGUACAGGGUGACAGUCCCGUACACGAAAAUGCACAGGUUGUGAACUCGAAGAGUAGGGCGGGACACGUGGUAUCCUGUCUGAAUAUGGGGGGACCAUCCUCCAAGGCUAAAUACUCCUGACUGACCGAUAGUGAACCAGUACCGUGAGGGAAAGGCGAAAAGAACCCCGGCGAGGGGAGUGAAAAAGAACCUGAAACCGUGUACGUACAAGCAGUGGGAGCACCUUCGUGGUGUGACUGCGUACCUUUUGUAUAAUGGGUCAGCGACUUAUAUUCUGUAGCAAGGUUAACCGUAUAGGGGAGCCGAAGGGAAACCGAGUCUUAACUGGGCGUUAAGUUGCAGGGUAUAGACCCGAAACCCGGUGAUCUAGCCAUGGGCAGGUUGAAGGUUGGGUAACACUAACUGGAGGACCGAACCGACUAAUGUUGAAAAAUUAGCGGAUGACUUGUGGCUGGGGGUGAAAGGCCAAUCAAACCGGGAGAUAGCUGGUUCUCCCCGAAAGCUAUUUAGGUAGCGCCUCGUGAACUCAUCUUCGGGGGUAGAGCACUGUUUCGGCUAGGGGGCCAUCCCGGCUUACCAACCCGAUGCAAACUACGAAUACCGAAGAAUGUUAUCACGGGAGACACACGGCGGGUGCUAACGUCCGUCGUGAAGAGGGAAACAACCCAGACCGCCAGCUAAGGUCCCAAAGUCAUGGUUAAGUGGGAAACGAUGUGGGAAGGCACAGACAGCCAGGAUGUUGGCUUAGAAGCAGCCAUCAUUUAAAGAAAGCGUAAUAGCUCACUGGUCGAGUCGGCCUGCGCGGAAGAUGUAACGGGGCUAAACCAUGCACCGAAGCUGCGGCAGCGACGCUUAUGCGUUGUUGGGUAGGGGAGCGUUCUGUAAGCCGUUGAAGGUGGCCUGUGAGGGUUGCUGGAGGUAUCAGAAGUGCGAAUGCUGACAUAAGUAACGAUAAAGCGGGUGAAAAGCCCGCUCGCCGGAAGACCAAGGGUUCCUGUCCAACGUUAAUCGGGGCAGGGUGAGUCGACCCCUAAGGCGAGGCCGAAAGGCGUAGUCGAUGGGAAACAGGUUAAUAUUCCUGUACUUGGUGUUACUGCGAAGGGGGGACGGAGAAGGCUAUGUUAGCCGGGCGACGGUUGUCCCGGUUUAAGCAUGUAGGCGGAACGAUUAGGUAAAUCCGGUCGUUUAUUAACGCUGAGGUGUGAUGACGAGGCACUACGGUGCUGAAGUAACAAAUGCCCUGCUUCCAGGAAAAGCCUCUAAGCAUCAGGUAACAUCAAAUCGUACCCCAAACCGACACAGGUGGUCAGGUAGAGAAUACCAAGGCGCUUGAGAGAACUCGGGUGAAGGAACUAGGCAAAAUGGUGCCGUAACUUCGGGAGAAGGCACGCUGAUAUGUAGGUGAAGCCCCUGCGGGUGGAGCUGAAAUCAGUCGAAGAUACCAGCUGGCUGCAACUGUUUAUUAAAAACACAGCACUGUGCAAACACGAAAGUGGACGUAUACGGUGUGACGCCUGCCCGGUGCCGGAAGGUUAAUUGAUGGGGUUAGCGGCAACGCGAAGCUCUUGAUCGAAGCCCCGGUAAACGGCGGCCGUAACUAUAACGGUCCUAAGGUAGCGAAAUUCCUUGUCGGGUAAGUUCCGACCUGCACGAAUGGCGUAAUGAUGGCCAGGCUGUCUCCACCCGAGACUCAGUGAAAUUGAACUCGCUGUGAAGAUGCAGUGUACCCGCGGCAAGACGGAAAGACCCCGUGAACCUUUACUAUAGCUUGACACUGAACACUGGUCCUUGAUGUGUAGGAUAGGUGGGAGGCUUUGAAGUGUGGACGCCAGUCUGCAUGGAGCCGUCCUUGAAAUACCACCCUUUAAUGGCUGGUGUUCUAACGUAGACCCGUAAUCCGGGUUGCGGACAGUGUCUGGUGGGUAGUUUGACUGGGGCGGUCUCCUCCCAAAGAGUAACGGAGGAGCACGAAGGUUAGCUAAUCCUGGUCGGACAUCAGGAGGUUAGUGCAAUGGCAUAAGCUAGCUUGACUGCGAGAGUGACGGCUCGAGCAGGUGCGAAAGCAGGUCAUAGUGAUCCGGUGGUUCUGAAUGGAAGGGCCAUCGCUCAACGGAUAAAAGGUACUCCGGGGAUAACAGGCUGAUACCGCCCAAGAGUUCAUAUCGACGGCGGUGUUUGGCACCUCGAUGUCGGCUCAUCACAUCCUGGGGCUGAAGUAGGUCCCAAGGGUAUGGCUGUUCGCCAUUUAAAGUGGUACGCGAGCUGGGUUUAGAACGUCGUGAGACAGUUCGGUCCCUAUCUGCCGUGGGCGCUGGAGAAUUGAGGGGGGCUGCUCCUAGUACGAGAGGACCGGAGUGGACGCAUCACUGGUGUUCGGGUUGUCAUGCCAAUGGCACUGCCCGGUAGCUAAAUGCGGAAAAGAUAAGUGCUGAAAGCAUCUAAGCACGAAACUUGCCCCGAGAUGAGUUCUCCCUGAGACUUUAAGUCUCCUGAAGGAACGUUGAAGACGACGACGUUGAUAGGUCGGGUGUGUAAGCGCAGCGAUGCGUUGAGCUAACCGAUACUAAUGAACCGUGAGGCUUAACCUUACAACGCCGAAG